GAGAGAGAGCGGUCUGUUAGUAAUGUAUCAUCAUGUCUGUCCCGGGAGCGAAGAGUAGGAGAUGAGAGAGAGAGGUUCUGUUAGUAAUGUAUCAUCAUGUCUGUCCAGGAGAGAGAGAGAGAGAGGUAUGUUAGUAAUGUAUCAUCAUGUCUGUCCAGGAGAGAGAGAGAGAGUGGUUUGUUAGUAAUGUAUUCCAAACCAUGUCUGUCCAGGAGGGGAGAGGUCUGUUAGUAAUAAUGAUCAUCAUGUCUGUCCAGGCGAGA
rnacentral:lncRNA from 1 species